rnacentral:rRNA from 1 species
GAUGAACGCUAGCGGCAGGCUUAAUACAUGCAAGUCAAGGGGGUAGCAAUACAACCGGCGCACGGGUGAGUAACGCGUACACAACAUACCAUAUACUGGAGUAUAGCUUUGGGAAACUGAAGGUAAUCCUCCAUAACAUUGCGAGAGGGCAUCUGAUUGCAAUUAAAGUUUCGGCGGUAUAUGAUUGGUGUGCGUUUGAUUAGCUAGUUGGCGGGGUAACGGCCCACCAAGGCGACGAUGUCUAGCUGGUCUGAGAGGAUGAUCAGCCACACUGGGACUGAGACACGGCCCAGACUCCUACGGGAGGCAGCAGUAGGGAAUAUUGGACAAUGGGGGGAACCCUGAUCCAGCCAUGCCGCGUGAGGGAAGAAGGUCCUCUGGAUUGUAAACCUCUUUUGGCAGGAAACAAACCUGCGCUAUACGCGCAGCUGAGGGUACCUGCAGAAUAAGCACCGGCUAACUCCGUGCCAGCAGCCGCGGU